AAUCAAAGAUGACAGCCAACACAGACACUUACACUCUCUCCCCUCCUAUCAACAGAAGUCAAUGUGGACGGAUAAGAAUAAAUUGUGAUGGACCUGGGGAGAACUGAAGUGGCAUUGAAAUUCCAAGCUCCAGGAAAUCUAAAUCUGCCUCUUCUAAUUACUCCCUAGCAUGCCCUCUGAUGUAAAAAGUUGGGUUCUUUUGAAGCCCCUGACAUGAAGUUACACGAUGACUUCGGUUCUUUGCGGGAAUGGGACCCGCUCUCGGGGUCUCACAACUGGCCGUUAUUCGAUAUGCUAAGGAUGCAGCCUAAGAGAUUAGCUCACCUUCAGAGAUCCAGGAUCUCAAGCUCUGGAGACAGGCGGACCGAAGGUUUCCCGGGAGGAAAUCGGCGUGUCAUGGGAAACGGAAGAUCUCUGGGUGUGUGCCCAGAGACCUGAGAUCUUUGGGCACAGAGCUCGGAAAAAGUGACGUAAUGGACUUUUAACAUUGUAAUCAGCAAGUUGUUUGUUAUGUCUCCCCUCUCGCUGCAAAACAGAGACACCCCUUUUUCCCUUAUUAGGGAGAGCGAGAGAGAGGACCUGUGGUGUGUUGAAUACUGGGUGAACAAGUAGACUUUGGAGUACUGCAAUUCUAUGUCUUUGCUGUUGCUUUGCUGCACACCAGUGAGUGGGGUGUUGAUGAUUUUUUUUGCUGGUGCGGGGGUAUCAU